rnacentral:tRNA from 1 species
CCAGGUUGAAGCUUUGAGGAAGCAUUUUAUUUACAUUAAAGGGAUUAUUAUUUUUAAUAUAGCCUGAUUA